AACGAACGCUGGCGGCAUGCCUAACACAUGCAAGUCGAACGAGACCUUCGGGUCUAGUGGCGCACGGGUGCGUAACGCGUGGGAACCUGCCCUUAGGUUCGGAAUAACUCCCCGAAAGGGGUGCUAAUACCGGAUAAUGUCUUCGGACCAAAGAUUUAUCGCCUUUGGAUGGGCCCGCGUUGGAUUAGCUAGUUGGUAGGGUAAAAGCCUACCAAGGCGACGAUCCAUAGCUGGUCUGAGAGGAUGAUCAGCCACACUGGGACUGAGACACGGCCCAGACUCCUACGGGAGGCAGCAGUGGGGAAUAUUGGACAAUGGGCGAAAGCCUGAUCCAGCAAUGCCGCGUGAGUGAUGAAGGCCUUAGGGUUGUAAAGCUCUUUUACCCGGGACGAUAAUGACAGUACCGGGAGAAUAAGCGCCGGCUAACUCCGUG
rnacentral:rRNA from 1 species